GUGUUAUUGUGCCUAUUUUCGUCGAAAGUGGAAUUAUACUGAUUUUCUCUUUAAGUAAUUUCCUGUCAUUUUCUGUUAGAUUCGCUACGUAAAACUGUUUUGCAGAGGCUCUAUAGGAUCGCCGGCAAUUUGGUACACAUCCGUACUGUGCAUGAAAAGGAAGACGCGAAGCUGGGCUCAGCGAUCCAAGAACUAAAAGAGGCCAACGCAAAGCUGCACAUGGCGUUCAUUUUAAAGGGAGAUGUAUGUAUGAAUUUGCGCCCUGUUGUUUGCUAUCAUUGAGUUGUAGUUGCGGAAUCAGAAAUAUACGGCUGCUGGAACAAGUCUAUUGCGUGACAGUUUCAAACAAGUUGUUUUGAAGAUUUCGCAAAUGAUUCCAAACUGGCUCUGGCUCUGUAUCUGUCAUAGUCUACGGGGAUUACGAUAAACCAACCUUAUUAGUUAUUCAGAUUUAGCGAUAAAUUGUUAUGCUCAUCAAUGGAUUGGUGGCUGCACAUGAUAUCUUGCUUGAAGAUCUGAGAAGAUUAAGCACCGGCAUUAACAUAGAGAUUGAUUUGACUAAAAUUGUGUUUCAAUCAGACGAUACAAAAUUGUUUGAUUCGCCUCUGCCUGCACGUGUCAAAAGUGCCGAGGGUUCCUGAUUCUGUCACUGUUUAUUGCUAUUGAUGCAAGCCACUUGAUUCAAGAGCUGAAAGUGUCAGAGCUGCUGCCAGUUUGGGCUGAAAUGAUUGCAGAGUGGCACACAUGGGAGGAAUCAGAAGAUUUGUCAAUUUUGUAUGUCAUUAAGGAAAUCGUGAAUUUAGAUCGUUCAUACAGGUUGAAAAACUUUCUUGUCGGUGCGCGAUUUGCCGGUGGUCGGAGAUUGGCGGGGUAAUCCUUGGGAUGAUUGUGUUGAUAAGUAACCUGUUAGAAUGCAUGUUUCUGUUUCUGUUAGUACUUAAACUUUGUAAAACAAAAUUGUUAAUUUUUUUCUUCUUUUUUUGGGUGGUUUGUUGUUGGUAUUAUAGUUGUUAAUUCAAUGUAA